rnacentral:lncRNA from 1 species
CGCAGGGUAGUUUCCACAUAAUCCCAUCCAAAACUUUUUCCUAGAGCCCUCUUCUGUGUCUCCAGUUUUUGAAAAGGAUCAAAGCAAAACCUGGACCUGAACCAGUUUCCCAAGGUUUAAACAAAUCCUGAGCUGUGCCGAAGUGGUGGGGGUGGGGGUGAAGGCGAGGGAGGAAAGAGGGGGUGGGGACGCGGGGGAGCCGGGGGAGCGGCGAGAAGUCACCAGCAAGUUGCUGGGAGCACCUGUCAGUUUGGGGGACAGGACAGAGGCGAAAACUCAAGAGUCGCGCGCAGCCAGCCUCGAAGCCAAGUUGGCGGCCGGCAGUUUCUGAUCAAUAACAAAGCUGCCAAUAGAUGCGGCUCUCCGGGCGCCCCUCUCCCCCGCCCCACCCCCACCCCCGGAGGGGGAGGGGGAAGAAACAAGGCGAGGGCGCCGCGGCCGGUCCCCGGGGCCUCGGAGCCGCAGCGGGGCCGGGUGCUCCGCGCCGAGGCCGCCCCGGGCGCGGGCGGAGGGAGGCCGCCGGGCUCCUGCUCCCCAGCCCGGCGCGCAGCCUGCGCCCGGUCCCGACCGCCGCAGCACGGAUUCCGGCACCUGGCUGGAGUUUUCGGCGAUCAAAGUUCACCUUGUUCGGCCCCUGUGGCCGUGACUCGUCAUUAACUUCCCAGGGGAUCCCCAUUCCCAAAGGGCUUGGCCAGCACCCUUGGCCAGAGUUUCUGGACCGAAGGAAGAAGGCAAAUUGAAUUCAAAGAUUUCUCUCCAGUUUCCAGCCCUCUGAAGAGAGAUGGAUAAAGCAAAUGUCAAGACAAACAGCCAAAAGAAUAACAACAUUCAUUGGUUUAACAAAUACGGUCUUUAUGGAAUUCCUACUGUGUCAGGCACUGUUCUAGGAGCUGGGGCUGUGGUAGUGAAAACAGAGGAAAGUGUCUGUCCUCUGAAGCUUACAUACUAGUUGGGCUGCAUGAAAUUAAUAUCAAGCAAGUGCCCUGGAAAGCAAAUCAGAAAUAUCACCCAACCUCUUGUUAAAUAAGUCAAUGCAAACAAUUCGACGACGUAUGGUGCUCCCUACCGGAUUGGAAGGAAGGCUAUAACCUUAAGGCUGAUGCUGAAACAGGAGUGGAGUCUCAAAUGUUCCUCUUUAAGGAGCUGCCCUUCCUGGCCUUGCAAGGCUGUCUACUGUGUGAGGAGAGCUGCCCCGAAAGUGGACGGGGGAAUGCUUGGACAGGGCAUACUCCUACCACAUCAAACGAGAAGCUGAUCCUUCCUCAGUCAUGCUGAAGAUGCCAAGCCCUCUUCCUAUGUUUGGACGCUGCCCGGAACCAAUCAACCUGACUUCUGCCUGUAAUACCUAGUCCUGUUCUUUCUUCCCUCUUAAAAUUCUACGGUUGAAACCUCUGCUCACCUAUCCCAUUCAUUCAUUCUUAUUCCUUUACCAAUUCAAGGCAAAUAAAUAAGACCCAAUCGUUGACUUUAGAGAACUU